rnacentral:rRNA from 1 species
GAGGUAGAGCAAAUCUCAAAAAAACAAUCUCAGUUCAGACUGCAGGCUGCAACUCGCCUGCACGAAGUCGGAAUUGCUAGUAAUCGUAGGUCAGCAUACUACGGUGAAUACGUUCCCGGGCCUUGUACACACCGCCCGUCAAACCAUGAGAGUUGGCAACACCCGAAGUCGGUAGUCUAACCGCAAGGAGGACGCCGCCGAAGGUGGGGUUGAUGAUUAGGGUUAAGUCGUAACAAGGUAAC